UUGCUGGGAUUUGAACUCAGAAUCUUCAGAAGAGCAGUCAGUGCUCUUAACCCCUGAGCCAUCUCUCCUGUCAGGAUUCUUCAACCAGAAGGACAAGGAGUACACCUGGGAAGGCAGGGAAAGGUGACAGCAGGAAUUGUGUACAGGACGAUCCAGGUGCAGGGUACAUGGGGCUUCCCCUUCUCUAUGAAGUACUCCAUGCAGCAUUGUCACAGCCACAGGACAAGAGCUCUUCCAGCAGGUGUGUGACAUGGCACACAUUAAAGAAGCUCACAUUUUUGGCCUCAGUGUACUCAGAGGUAAGCAUUGCUUGAUAUCUCCUACAUAGA